UCGGAAAAAGAUGAAUAAAAACAUAUAUAUAUAUAUGAUGCAUGAAUUCUCACUGCUAAUGUGAGAUGAGUUUUUGAGUGGGUAAAGGUUGCCCCUAAGGUGACCCACCUACUUUGCAAAACACCUGGGAGUUUCAAUCUGCCCG